rfam:Ornithorhynchus anatinus chromosome 3, whole genome shotgun sequence.
CACCUCUCAGGUUGUACCUGGAGAGUUACCAGUACUCUACCAUUCUCAGCUAUGGGAAAAAAAGUCAAGCAGAGGCCUAUCCAUUCCAUUCCUAGCUUGGGCAGUGGCUAGCGAGUGGAAGGCCAUCUGCUACAAGU